rnacentral:rRNA from 1 species
GAUGAACGCUGGCGGCGUGCUUAACACAUGCAAGUCGAACGAACCUUCGGGUUAGUGGCGGACGGGUGAGUAACGCGUGAGAAUCUGCCCUCAGGAGGGGGAUAACGGCUGGAAACGGCCGCUAAUACCCCAUAUGCCGAGAGGUGAAAUGAGUUUCGCCUGAGGAUGAGCUCGCGUCUGAUUAGCUAGUUGGUGGGGUAAGAGCCUACCAAGGCAUCGAUCAGUAGCUGGUCUGAGAGGAUGAUCAGCCACACUGGGACUGAGACACGGCCCAGACUCCUACGGGAGGCAGCAGUGGGGAAUUUUCCGCAAUGGGCGAAAGCCUGACGGAGCAACGCCGCGUGAGGGAUGAAGGCCUCUGGGCUGUAAACCUCUUUUAUCAAGGAAGAAGAUCUGACGGUACUUGAUGAAUAAGCCACGGCUAAUUCCGUGCCAGCAGCCGCGGUAAUACGGGAGUGGCAAGCGUUAUCCGGAAUUAUUGGGCGUAAAGCGUCCGCAGGCGGCCUCGUAAGUCUGUUGUCAAAGCGUGGAGCUUAACUCCAUUUCGGCAAUGGAAACUGUGAGGCUUGAGUGUGGUAGGGGCAGAGGGAAUUCCCGGUGUAGCGGUGAAAUGCGUAGAUAUCGGGAAGAACACCAGUGGCGAAGGCGCUCUGCUGGGCCAUAACUGACGCUCAUGGACGAAAGCCAGGGGAGCGAAAGGGAUUAGAUACCCCUGUAGUCCUGGCCGUAAACGAUGAACACUAGGUGUCGGGGGAAUCGACCCCCUCGGUGUCGUAGCCAACGCGUUAAGUGUUCCGCCUGGGGAGUACGCACGCAAGUGUGAAACUCAAAGGAAUUGACGGGGGCCCGCACAAGCGGUGGAGUAUGUGGUUUAAUUCGAUGCAACGCGAAGAACCUUACCAGGGUUUGACAUCCUGCGAAUCCCUUGGAAACGAGGGAGUGCCUUCGGGAGCGCAGUGACAGGUGGUGCAUGGCUGUCGUCAGCUCGUGUCGUGAGAUGUUGGGUUAAGUCCCGCAACGAGCGCAACCCACGUCUUUAGUUGCCAGCAUUCAGUUGGGCACUCUAGAGAGACCGCCGGUGAUAAACCGGAGGAAGGUGUGGAUGACGUCAAGUCAUCAUGCCCCUUACAUCCUGGGCUACACACGUACUACAAUGCUACGGACAAAGGGCAGCAAACUCGCGAGAGCUAGCAAAUCCCAUAAACCGUGGCUCAGUUCAGAUCGUAGGCUGCAACUCGCCUACGUGAAGGAGGAAUCGCUAGUAAUCGCAGGUCAGCAUACUGCGGUGAAUACGUUCCCGGGCCUUGUACACACCGCCCGUCACACCAUGGAAGUUGGCCACGCCCGAAGCCGUUACUCCAACCCUUGUGGAGGAGGACGUCGAAGGUGGGGCUGAUGACUGGGGUG